GGCACUUUGUGGGAUCUCCCAGAAGUAAAAAAAGCAGUAGCUGCAUUUGGUGCCUUUGCCUCCGGGGAUUUUUCUUUAGCGGGAGCCAGGAAACAAAAUUUUUCAGCCGGCUCGCUUGUGCCUUAUUCUUAAAACCCGAUCGCCAGUGGAUAUAUCGGCAGCCCCAUUGUUUCGGGUUUUACCCUUGGAUUUUUUUUAAGACCGGAUUUUCUUGGCGUUUUCUCAACUUCAUCAGUCUCGAAAAAGAAAAAAAAAAUUCUUUGACAACAGCGACAACUGCGGAUACAAGGAACACACCCACCAAUUCAACUCACC
rnacentral:sRNA from 1 species